GAUGAACGCUGGCGGCGUGCCUAAUACAUGCAAGUCGAGCGAACAGACGAGGAGCUUGCUCCUCUGACGUUAGCGGCGGACGGGUGAGUAACACGUGGAUAACCUACCUAUAAGACUGGGAUAACUUCGGGAAACCGGAGCUAAUACCGGAUAAUAUAUUGAACCGCAUGGUUCAAUAGUGAAAGACGGUUUUGCUGUCACUUAUAGAUGGAUCCGCGCCGCAUUAGCUAGUUGGUAAGGUAACGGCUUACCAAGGCAACGAUGCGUAGCCGACCUGAGAGGGUGAUCGGCCACACUGGAACUGAGACACGGUCCAGACUCCUACGGGAGGCAGCAGUAGGGAAUCUUCCGCAAUGGGCGAAGGCCUGACGGAGCAACGCCGCGUGAGUGAUGAGGGUCUUCGGAUCGUAAAACUCUGUUAUUAGGGAAGAACAAAUGUGUAAGUAACUAUGCACGUCUUGACGGUACCUAAUCAGAAAGCCACGGCUAACUACGUG
rnacentral:rRNA from 1 species